rnacentral:rRNA from 1 species
AACGUAGGACGCAAGCGUUAUCCGGAAUUACUGGGCGUAAAGCGCGCGCAGGCGGGUUAUCAAGUCAUGUGUGAAAGCUCCCGGCUAAACUGGGAGAGGUCAGAUGAUACUGAUAGCCUGGAGUGCAUCAGAGGUAAGUGGAAUUCCGCGUGUAGUGGUGAAAUGCGUAGAUAUGCGGAGGAACACCAGUGGCGAAGGCGGCUUACUGGGAUGCAACUGACGCUGAGGCGCGAAAGCAUGGGUAGCGAAC